UUGACCUCGGAUCAGGUAGGAAUACCCGCUGAACUUAAGCAUAUCAGUCA
rnacentral:rRNA from 1 species